rnacentral:SRP_RNA from 1 species
UGCUGGUGGUUUCGCAAUUGUACUCUGAAAACCCCGCCAGGACCGGAAGGUAGCAACGGUAUGCCGAGAUUUUGCUAGUAGGGCUGCCACCAGAUUUC